GGGCCUCACUAAGCUAAUGAUGCUUGAUAAUUGUUGUCUUAUUCGCAUUCCUUGCCUGGGUCAGAUAACCAGGUUAAACAAUGCCACCACAUGAACGUGCUUUUUCAUGCAAGCUGCCAACAGUGGCUGUCAUUUUCACGUUGAUUGCUGCCGUUUCCCCAACAGUGGUGACAGCAUGACUGCGCUUUGACGUGCAGACUGCAAACGGUGCCUUUCAAGCAUACCCUCGAGUACUUCUAUGAAUGGCUACCCGAAUGAGUAUUUUCGGCCUCACUAAGCUAAUGAUGCUUGAUAAUUGUUGUCUUAUUCGCAUUACUUGCCUGGGUCAGAUAACCAGGUUAAACAAUGCCACCACAUGAACGUGCUUUUUCAUGCAAGCUGCCAACAGUGGC
rnacentral:lncRNA from 1 species